UAUGUCCUGUAACUGAAACCA
ensembl:piRNA 21ur-5019 ncRNA